GACGAACGCUGGCGGCGUGCUUAACACAUGCAAGUCGAACGGAAAGGCCCUGCUUUUGUGGGGUGCUCGAGUGGCGAACGGGUGAGUAACACGUGAGUAACCUGCCCUUGACUUUGGGAUAACUUCAGGAAACUGGGGCUAAUACCGGAUAGGAGCUCCUGCUGCAUGGUGGGGGUUGGAAAGUUUCGGCGGUUGGGGAUGGACUCGCGGCUUAUCAGCUUGUUGGUGGGGUAGUGGCUUACCAAGGCUUUGACGGGUAGCCGGCCUGAGAGGGUGACCGGCCACAUUGGGGCUGAGAUACGGCCCAGACUCCUACGGGACGCAGCAGUGGGAAAUAUUGCACAAUGGGCGGAAGCCUGAUGCAGCAACGCCGCGUGCGGGAUGACGGCCUUCGGGUUGUAAACCGCUUUCGCCUGUGACGAAGCGUGAGUGACGGUAAUGGGUAAAGAAGCACCGGCUAACUCCGUG
rnacentral:rRNA from 1 species